rnacentral:rRNA from 1 species
UGGGGAAUAUUGCACAAUGGGCGCAAGCCUGAUGCAGCCAUGCCGCGUGUGUGAAGAAGGCCUUCGGGUUGUAAAGCACUUUCAGCGGGGAGGAAGGCGGUGAGGUUAAUAACCUCAUCGAUUGACGUUACCCGCAGAAGAAGCACCGGCUAACUCCGUGCCAGCAGCCGCGGUAAUACGGAGGGUGCAAGCGUUAAUCGGAAUUACUGGGCGUACAGCGCACGCAGGCGGUCUGUCAAGUCGGAUGUGAAAUCCCCGGGCUCAACCUGGGAACUGCAUUCGAAACUGGCAGGCUAGAGUGUUGUAGAGGGAGGUAGAAUUCCAGGUGUAGCGGUGAAAUGCGUAAAGAUCUGGAGGAAUACCGGUAGCGAAGGCGGCCCCCUGGACAAAGACUGACGCUCAGGUGCGAAAGCGUGGGGAGCAAACAGG